ACGCUGGCGGCACGCCUAACACAUGCAAGUCGAACGAAGUAGCAAUACUUAGUGGCAGACGGGUGAGUAACAUGUAGGUAUCUACCCUUUGGCCUGGAAUAACACGAGGAAACUUGUGCUAAUACCGGAUAAGUCUUUACGGAGAAAGCUUUAUGCACCAUUGGAUGAGCCUGCACUUGAUUAGUUUGUUGGUGGGGUAAUGGCCUACCAAGACUGUGAUCAAUAGCUGAUUUGAGAGGAUGAUCAGCCACAUUGGGACUGAGACACGGCCCAAACUCCUACGGGAGGCAGCAGUGGGGAAUCUUGCACAAUGGAGGAAACUCUGAUGCAGCGAUGCCGCGUGAGUGAAGAAGGCCUUUGGGUUGUAAAGCUCUUUCGUCGGGGAAGAAAAUGACUGUACCCGAAUAAGAAGGUCCGGCUAACUUCGUGCCAGCAGCCGCGGUAAUACGAAGGGACCUAGCGUAGUUCGGAAUUACUGGGCUUAAAGAGUUCGUAGGUGGUUGAAAAAGUUAGUGGUGAAAUCCCAGAGCUUAACUCUGGAACUGCCAUUAAAACUUUUCAGCUAGAGUAUGAUAGAGGAAAGCAGAAUUUCUAGUGUAGAGGUGAAAUUCGUAGAUAUUAGAAAGAAUACCAAUUGCGAAGGCAGCUUUCUGGAUCAUUACUGACACUGAGGAACGAAAGCAUGGGUAGCGAAGAGGAUUAGAUACCCUCGUAGUCCAUGCCGUAAACGAUGUGUGUUAGACGUUGGAAAUUUAUUUUCAGUGUCGCAGCGAAAGCGAUAAACACACCGCCUGGGGAGUACGACCGCAAGGUUAAAACUCAAAUGAAUUGACGGGGACCCGCACAAGUAGUGGAGCAUGUGGUUUAAUUCGAAGAUACGCGCAGAACCUUACCAACACUUGACAUGUUCGUCGCGACUCUAAGAGAUUAGAGUUUUCGGUUCGGCCGGACGAAACACAGGUGCUGCAUGGCUGUCGUCAGCUCGUGUCGUGAGAUGUUGGGUUAAGUCCCGCAACGAGCGCAACCCUCACUUUUAGUUGCCAUCAUUAAGUUGGGCAUUCUGAAAGAACUGCCAGUGAUAAGCUGGAGGAAGGUGGGGAUGACGUCAAGUCCUCAUGGCCCUUACGUGUUGGGCUACACACGUGCUACAAUGGUAUCUACAACAGGAAGCAAGACUGCGAGGUCAAGCAAAUCCUUAAAAGAUACCUCAGUUCGGAUUGCACUCUGCAACUCGAGUGCAUGAAGCUGGAAUUACUAGUAAUCGUGGAUCAGCGUGCCACGGUGAAUGCGUUCCCGGGUCUUGUACACACCGCCCGUCACACCAUGGGAGUUGGUUCUACCUUAAGGCAAGGUUUUAAACCCUUGACCACGGUAUAGUCAGCGACUGGGGU
rnacentral:rRNA from 1 species